UGGGGAAUAUUGGACAAUGGGGGGAACCCUGAUCCAGCCAUGCCGCGUGUGUGAAGAAGGCCUUAUGGUUGUAAAGCACUUUAAGCGAGGAGGAGGGUACUGGUAUUAAUACUACCAGGUACUGGACGUUACUCGCAGAAUAAGCACCGGCUAACUCUGUGCCAGCAGCCGCGGUAAUACAGAGGGUGCGAGCGUUAAUCGGAUUUACUGGGCGUAAAGCGCGCGUAGGUGGUUCGUUAAGUUGAAUGUGAAAGCCCCGGGCUCAACCUGGGAACUGCAUCCAAAACUGGCGAGCUAGAGUAGGGCAUAGGGUGGUGGAAUUUCCUGUGUAGCGGUGAAAUGCGUAGAUAUAGGAAGGAACACCAGUGGCGAAGGCGACCACCUGGGCUCAUACUGACACUGAGGUGCGAAAGCGUGGGGAGCAAACAGG
rnacentral:rRNA from 1 species